GACGAACGCUGGCGGCGUGCCUAAUACAUGCAAGUUGAGCGCUGAAGGUUGGUACUUGUACCAACUGGAUGAGCAGCGAACGGGUGAGUAACGCGUGGGGAAUCUGCCUUUGAGCGGGGGACAACUUUUGGAAACGAAUGCUAAUACCGCAUAAAAACUUUAAACACAAGUUUUAAGAUUGAAAGAUGCAAUUGCAUCACUCAAAGAAUAUCCCGCGUUGUCUUUGCUAGUUGGUGAGGUAAAGGCUCACCAAGGCGAUGAUACAUAGCCGACCUGAGAGGGUGAUCGGCCACAUUGGGACUGAGACACGGCCCAAACUCCUACGGGAAGGAGCAGUAGGGAAUCUUCGGCAAUGGACGAAAGUCUGAACGAGCCACGCCGCGUGGGUGAAUGAGGUUUUCGGAUCGUAAAACUCUGUUGGUAAGGAAGAACGUUGGUGAGAGUGGAAAGCUCAUCAAGUGACGGUAACUAACCAGAAAGGGACGGCUAACUACGUG
rnacentral:rRNA from 1 species